rnacentral:lncRNA from 1 species
CUAUGAACUACAAAACACAAAAGGAUUCACCAACUACUAGACCUAGGCUCUGAUACCACUUGAAGGAAUUAUUUUGUAAAACAUGUUCAUUUGAGCAACAUCAUAUAGCAUGCAAUUAACAAUUAAAGGCGGAAUCAUGCUUGCAUGCACUCAAAAAACAAAACAUUACCCAUGAAAUUCAAAGCCUAGUAGAUUGGUG